AACGAACGCUGGCGGCAGGCUUAACACAUGCAAGUCGAGCGCCCCGCAAGGGGAGCGGCAGACGGGUGAGUAACGCGUGGGAAUCUACCGUACCCUACGGAACAACAGUUGGAAACGACUGCUAAUACCGUAUACGCCCUUAGGGGGAAAGAUUUAUCGGGGUAUGAUGAGCCCGCGUUGGAUUAGCUAGUUGGUGGGGUAAAGGCCUACCAAGGCGACGAUCCAUAGCUGGUCUGAGAGGAUGAUCAGCCACAUUGGGACUGAGACACGGCCCAAACUCCUACGGGAGGCAGCAGUGGGGAAUAUUGGACAAUGGGCGCAAGCCUGAUCCAGCCAUGCCGCGUGAGUGAUGAAGGUCUUAGGAUUGUAAAGCUCUUUCACCGAUGAAGAUAAUGACGGUAGUCGGAGAAGAAGCCCCGGCUAACUUCGUGCCAGCAGCCGCAGUAAAAC
rnacentral:rRNA from 1 species